rnacentral:rRNA from 1 species
UACGUAGGGGACGAGCGUUGUCCGGAAUCAUUGGGCGUAAAGCGCUUUAAGGCGGUUCGGUAAGUCGGGUGUGAAACCUCCAGGCUCAACCUGGAGACGCCACUCGAUACUGCUGUGACUAGAGUUCGGUAGGGGAUCACGGAAUUCCUGGUGUAGCGGUGAAAUGCGCAGAUAUCAGGAGGAACACCGGUGGCGAAGGCGGUGAUCUGGGCCGACACUGACGCUGUAGAGCGAAAGCGUGGGGAGCGAACAGG